AGCGAACGCUGGCGGCAGGCCUAACACAUGCAAGUCGAACGAACUCUUCGGAGUUAGUGGCGGACGGGUGAGUAACACGUGGGAACGUGCCUUUUGGUUCGGAAUAACUCAGGGAAACUUGUGCUAAUACCGAAUGUGCCCUUCGGGGAAAGGUUUAUCGCCAUUAGAGCGGCCCGCGUCUGAUUAGCUAGUUGGUGGGGUAACGGCUCACCAAGGCGACGAUCAGUAGCUGGUCUGAGAGGAUGACCAGCCACACUGGGACUGAGACACGGCCCAGACUCCUACGGGAGGCAGCAGUGGGGAAUCUUGCGCAAUGGGCGAAAGCCUGACGCAGCCAUGCCGCGUGAAUGAUGAAGGUCUUAGGAUUGUAAAAUUCUUUCACCGGGGACGAUAAUGACGGUACCCGGAGAAGAAGCCCCGGCUAACUUCGUG
rnacentral:rRNA from 1 species